GCCUCUUCCCAUUUCCCAACAUUCUCUAGCUUGCCCUUGGGGAUCCUUGGGGUUCUGAAGAAGCUGGCUCCGUCUCUGGUUCCAAGGGUGGAGUGUGUGACUAAGCCUGUCGGCACAUUCCAGUGCCCUUAGGUCUCCGUGACUAGAUCAGCUGUGGCCUGUGACCCAGUCCUGUCUAAUCAGAGGAGAUAUCAAGCCUUUUGCGAGGGAUGCCGGGACAGAUAGGAUUCCACUCUUGUCAUGGAACAAGGCAAAGGAAAGCACAAAUGUGAUGUUAAACACACAGAGGAGACCCCACAUCAGUUACUCAUACAGAUGCUGCCAAGGAUCCAGCUGUUCUGCACUGUGCCGAGAACCAAGGCUUCUUGGAGAAUUAAUUGGCUGUUUCCAGGUCUGGAGCAGGAAAUAUAUAAGAGAAGCCCAGAACGUCUUGUACCAGAAGCCAAGAAAGCUAUCAAACACUACUGGGGUCGUGUCAAAAGGACACAGGUGCCAACUUGAAGGAGAACCGACUAGACAGAAGGGGAUCAUUUGUGCAUCAAAAUCAAAACUAAACAAAUAAACAAAAACCUUGCAAUGUA